rnacentral:rRNA from 1 species
ACGGAAGGCAGCAGUAGGGAAUAUUGCACAAUGGGGGGAACCCUGAUGCAGCAACGCCACGUGUGGGAAGAAGCAUUUCGGUGUGUAAACCACUGUCGUGAGGGAAUAAUGCUUGGCUCCGGCCAAGUUGAAUGUACCUCGAAAGGAAGCACCGGCAAACUUCGUGCCAGCAGCCGCGGUAAUACGAGGGGUGCAAGCGUUGUUCGGAAUCACUGGGCGUAAAGGGAGCGUAGGCGGAGACGCAAGCAGUCUGUACAAUACCGGGGCCCAACCCCGGACCUGCAGACUGGACUGUGUCUCUUGGAUAGUUCAGGGGCAGGCGGAAUUCCUGGUGUAGCGGUGGAAUGCGUAGAGAUCAGGAAGAACACCGAUGGCGAAGGCAGCCUGCUGGGGACUCAUCGACGCUGAGGCUCGAAAGUGUGGGUAGCAAACAGGAUUAGAUACCCUGGUA